rnacentral:rRNA from 1 species
CUACGUGCCAGCAGCCGCGGUAAUACGGAAGGUCCGGGCGUUAUCCGGAUUUAUUGGGUUUAAAGGGAGCGUAGGCUGGAGAUUAAGUGUGUUGUGAAAUGUAGACGCUCAACGUCUGACUUGCAGCGCAUACUGGUUUCCUUGAGUACGCACAACGUUGGCGGAAUUCGUCGUGUAGCGGUGAAAUGCUUAGAUAUGACGAAGAACUCCGAUUGCGAAGGCAGCUGACGGGAGCGCAACUGACGCUGAAGCUCGAAGGUGCGGGUAUCGAACAGGAUUAGAUACCCUGGUAGUCCGCACAGUAAACGAUGGAUGCCCGCUGUUGGUACUUGGUAUCAGCGGCUAAGCGAAAGCAUUAAGCAUCCCACCUGGGGAGUACGCCGGCAACGGUGAAACUCAAAGGAAUUGACGGGGGCCCGCACAAGCGGAGGAACAUGUGGUUUAAUUCGAUGAUACGCGAGGAACCUUACCCGGGCUKAA